rfam:Fukomys damarensis contig83020, whole genome shotgun sequence.
GAAUAUGAAGGCAAUCUGACUCCAACAUGUUCCACUACUGACUAUUAAGGUUGAUUUGGCUGAUAUGGCUGGCUACAUGGGUGUUCCCUUCCUCCCUUACUGAUCCAUAUGUGUCCCCUGCCACAAAACUGUGUGCUUGGUUAAAGAAGACAACCCUCCCAAAUAGAGGAGGACCAUUUCUUCAGUCAAAGGUAUAUGAGUAGUUGUAUUCCCCUGCUAGAACCUCCAAACAAGCUAUCAGGAAAAGCUAGGGCAAAGGUGACAUCCUGUCUCAAAAAAUUUUGUUUUAAAUCUAUAGAAAACCACACUAU